rnacentral:misc_RNA from 1 species
GGGUGAUAAUAAAUAUCAUGCUGAACAAUAUGGAUUGCAGGAUGCUAAGAAAGGUGUGUUGUUUAUUGAUUUCCCCCCCGUCCUUCAGCUACAGCUAAAACGAUUUGAAUAUGAUUUUAUGCGGGACACUAUGGUAAAGAUUAAUGAUCGUUAUGAAUUCCCUUUGCAACUUGACCUUGAUCGAGAGAAUGGCAAAUAUUUAUCACCUGACGCUGAUAGGAGUGUUCGCAACUUAUAUACUCUUCACGGUGUUCUUGUUCACAGUGGUGGGGUUCAUGGUGGACAUUAUUAUGCUUUUAUCAGGCCAACACUUUCUGAUCAAUGGUACAAAUUUGAUGAUGAAAGAGUAACAAAAGAAGAUAUGAAGAGGGCAUUAGAAGAGCAGUAUGGUGGAGAAGAAGAAUUACCACCAACAAAUCCUGGAUUCAACAACACUCCCUUUAAAUUUACCAAAUAUUCAAAUGCGUACAUGCUGGUGUAUAUACGGGAAAGUGACAAGGACAAGAUAAUAUGUAAUGUAGACGAGAAGGAUAUUGCGGAACAUCUUAGGGAGAGACUGAAGAAAGAACAGGAAGAGAAAGAGCACAAGAAGAAAGAAAAGGCUGAGGCUCACCUUUACACUAUAAUAAAGGUUGCGCGAGAUGAAGAUCUUGCGAAGCAGAUUGGAAAAAAUAUAUAUUUUGAUCUUGUGGAUCAUGAAAAAGUCAGGAUUUUUCGUGUUCAAAAGCAGACGCCUUUCCAUCUGUUUAAGGAAGAAGUUGCUAAAGAGUUUGGCAUACCAGUACAAUUUCAACGCUUUUGGCUGUGGGCUAAACGUCAAAACCAUACAUAUCGUCCUAAUCGGCCAUUGGCACCACUAGAGGAAAACCAAUCUGUUGGACAGUUGAGGGAAGUGUCAAAUAAGGUUAAUAAUGCUGAACUAAAGUUGUUCUUGGAAGUAGAACUUGGACCGGAUUUAUGCCCCAUAUCUCCACCUUGCAAGAUGAAGGAAGAUAUAUUGCUUUUUUUCAAGCUUUAUGAUCCUGAAAAAGAAGAGCUACGUUAUGUUGGUAGGCUUUUUGUAAAGGGUUCUGGUAAACCAAUGGAAAUCUUAGCAAAGCUUAAACAAAUGGCUGGUAUUGCACCUGAUGAAGAGGUUGAACUUUAUGAGGAAAUAAAGUUUGAGCCUUGUGUAAUGUGUGAACAUCUUGAUAAGAGGACCUCAUUUCGAUUAAGUCAGAUUGAAGAUGGAGACAUAAUUUGCUUUCAGAAAUCUCCUCCUCUUCAGGGUGAAGAAGAUUGUCGAUACCCAGAUGUGCCUUCAUUUUUGGAAUACGUGCAUAAUCGGCAGAUAGUUCAUUUUCGGUCAAUGGAGAAACCAAAAGAGGAUGAUUUUUGUCUAGAGUUGUCAAAGCUACAUACCUAUGAUGAUGUCGUGGAAAGAGUAGCUCGCCAAAUUGGUUUAGAUGAUCCAUCCAAGAUUAGGUUAACAUCUCACAAUUGUUACUCCCAGCAGCCUAAGCCCCAACCAAUUAAAUAUAGAGGAGUGGAGCAUCUAUCAGAUAUGUUAGUUCACUAUAAUCAGACCUCUGAUAUUUUGUACUAUGAAGUUCUGGACAUUCCUCUUCCAGAAUUGCAAGGUUUGAAAAAUCUGAAAGUUGCUUUCCAUCAUGCUACUAAAGAUGAGGUGGUAAUUCAUAAUAUUAGACUACCUAAACAGAGCACUGUGGGGGACGUAAUUAAUGAACUUAAAACGAAGGUAGAGUUGUCUCAUCCUAAUGCAGAACUUCGGCUUCUUGAAGUUUUCUAUCACAAGAUU